rnacentral:rRNA from 1 species
GACGAACGCUGGCGGCGUGCUUAACACAUGCAAGUCGAACGGUAAGGCCCUUCGGGGUACACGAGUGGCGAACGGGUGAGUAACACGUGGGUGAUCUGCCCUGCACUUCGGGAUAAGCCUGGGAAACUGGGUCUAAUACCGGAUAGGACCACUGCCUGCAUGGGUGGUGGCGGAAAGCUUUUGCGGUGUGGGAUGGGCCCGCGGCCUAUCAGCUUGUUGGUGGGGUGAUGGCCUACCAAGGCGACGACGGGUAGACGGCCUGAGAGGGUGACCGGCCACACUGGGACUGAGAUACGGCCCAGACUCCUACGGGAGGCAGCAGUGGGGAAUAUUGCACAAUGGGCGCAAGCCUGAUGCAGCGACGCCGCGUGAGGGAUGACGGCCUUCGGGUUGUAAACCUCUUUCAGCACCGACGAAGCGCAAGUGACGGUAGGUGCAGAAGAAGGACCGGCCAACUACGUGCCAGCAGCCGCCGUAAUAC